rnacentral:rRNA from 1 species
GACGUAGGGUCCGAGCGUUGUCCGGAAUUACUGGGCGUAAAGCGUGCGCAGGCGGUGCGCCAAGCUCGAUGUGAAAGCCCCGGGCUUAACCUGGGAAUUGCAUUGAGGACUGGCGUGCUCGAGUGCGGCAGAGGGGGGUGGAAUUCCACGUGUAGCAGUGAAAUGCGUAGAGAUGUGGAGGAACACCGAUGGCGAAGGCAGCCCCCUGGGCCGACACUGACGCUCAUGCACGAAAGCGUGGGGAGCAAACAGG